AAAAUUGUGUAGGGCGAGGUGUAGGCAAAUCCGCACCUCAUCAGCCUGAGACAAGAAGACUAGGUCGUCCUUGUGACGGCGAGAGUGGGUGAUCCUAUGCUGCCUAGAAAAUCUUCGUGAGCGAGUUCUAGAGCCGCCCGUACCCUAAACCGACUCAGGUGGUCAGGUAGAGAAUACCAAGGUGAUCGAGAUAACCGUGGUUAAGGAACUCGGCAAAAUGCCCCCGUAACUUCGGGAGAAGGGGGGCCAACGCUGUGAAGGGACAUACGUGCCCGGAGCAGCCGCGGCCGCAGAGACCAGGCCCAAGCGACUGUUUACUAAAAACACAGGUCCGUGCUAAGUCGCAAGACGCUGUAUACGGACUGACGCCUGCCCGGUGCUGGAACGUUAAGGGGAAGUGUUAGGGGUAACUCGAAGCACUGAACUUAAGCGCCAGUAAACGGCGGUGGUAACUAUAACCAUCCUAAGGUAGCGAAAUUCCUUGUCGGGUAAGUUCCGACCUGCACGAAUGGCGUAACGACUUGGGCGCUGUCUCGACCACGGACUCGGCGAAAUUGCACUACGAGUAAAGAUGCUCGUUACGCGCAGCAGGACGGAAAGACCCCGGGACCUUUACUAUAGUUUGGUAUUGGUGUUCGGUACAGCUUGUGUAGGAUAGGUGGGAGACUUUGAAGCGGCCACGCCAGUGGUUGUGGAGUCAACGUUGAAAUACCACUCUGGCUGUUCUGGAUAUCUAACCUAGGUCCGUUAUCCGGAUCAGGGACAGUGCCUGAUGGGUAGUUUGACUGGGGCGGUCGCCUCCCAAAAGGUAACGGAGGCGCCCAAAGGUUCCCUCAGCCUGGUUGGCAAUCAGGUUUUGAGUGUAAGUGCACAAGGGAGCUUGACUGUGAGAGAGACAUCUCAAACAGGGACGAAAGUCGGGACUAGUGAUCUGACGGUGGCACGUGGAAGCGCCGUCACUCAACGGAUAAAAGGUACCCCGGGGAUAACAGGCUGAUCUUGCCCGAGCGUCCAUAGCGACGGCAUGGUUUGGCACCUCGAUGUCGGCUCGUCGCAUCCUGGGGCUGGAGUCGGUCCCAAGGGUUGGGCUGUUCGCCCAUUAAAGCGGCACGCGAGCUGGGUUUAGAACGUCGUGAGACAGUUCGGUCCCUAUCCGCUGCGCGCGUAGGAGUCUUGAGGAGGGCUGUCCUUAGUACGAGAGGACCGGGACGGACGAACCUCUGGUGUGCCAGUUGUUCUGCCAAGAGCACGGCUGGUUGGCUACGUUCGGAAGUGAUAACCGCUGAAAGCAUCUAAGCGGGAAGCACGCUCCAAGAUGAUGGCUCCCACAGGAUAACCUGGUAAGGCCCCCAGCAGACCACUGGGUGAUAGGCCGGAUGUGGAAGUGCAGCAAUGCAUGGAGCUGACCGAUACUAAUAGGCCGAGGGCUUGUUCAG
rnacentral:rRNA from 1 species